rnacentral:rRNA from 1 species
CCUACGGGUGGCAGCAGUGGGGAAUAUUGGGCAAUGGGCGCAAGCCUGACCCAGCAACGCCGCGUGAAGGAAGAAGGCCCUCGGGUUGUAAACUUCUUUUUACAGGGACGAAGAAAGUGACGGUACCUGUUGAAUAAGCCACGGAUAACUACGUGCCAGCAGCCGCGGUAAUACGUAGGUGGCAAGCGUUCUCCGGAUGUACUGGGUGUAAAGGGGGUGUAGGCGGGAUAGCAAGUCAGACGUGAAAUUCCAGGGCUCAACCCGGGAACUGCGUUUGAAACUGGUCUUCUUGAGUGCAGGGGAGGCAGGCGGAAUUCCGUGUGUAGCGGUGAAAUGCGUAGAGAUAAGGAGGAACACCAGUGGCGAAGGCGGCCUGCUGGACAGUAACUGACGCUGAGGCGCGAAAGCGUGGGGAGCAAACAGGAUUAGAUACCCGAGUAGUC